rnacentral:rRNA from 1 species
GACGAACGCUGGCGGCGUGCUUAACACAUGCAAGUCGAACGGAAAGGCCCUGCUUUUGUGGGGUGCUCGAGUGGCGAACGGGUGAGUAACACGUGAGUAACCUGCCCUUGACUUUGGGAUAACUUUAGGAAACUGGGGCUAAUACCGGAUAGGAGCUCCUGCUGCAUGGUGGGGGUUGGAAAGUUUCGGCGGUUGGGGAUGGACUCGCGGCUUAUCAGCUUGUUGGUGGGGUAGUGGCUUACCAAGGCUUUGACGGGUAGCCGGCCUGAGAGGGUGACCGGCCACAUUGGGACUGAGAUACGGCCCAGACUCCUACGGGAGGCAGCAGUGGGCAAUAUUGCACAAUGGGCGGAAGCCUGAUGCAGCAACGCCGCGUGCGGGAUGACGGCCUUCGGGUUGUAAACCGCUUUCGCCUGUGACGAAGCGUGAGUGACGGUAAUGGGUAAAGAAGCACCGGCUAACUACGUG